GAUGAACGCUAGCUACAGGCUUAACACAUGCAAGUCGAGGGACCGGUGCACGGGUGAGUAACACGUACCCAACCUGCCCUUUACUCGGGGAUAGCCUUUCGAAAGACAGAUUAAUACCCGAUGUAAAGGAUGGGGAUGCGUUCCAUUAGGUUGUUGGUGAGGUAACGGCGCACCAAGACUUCGAUGGAUCGGGGUUCUGAGAGGAAGGUCCCCCACAUUGGAACUGAGACACGGUCCAAAAUCCUACGGGAGGCAGCAGUGAGGAAUAUGUGUCAAUGGGCGUUAGCCUGAACCAGCCAAGUAGCGUGAAGGAUGAAGGCUUAUGGGGCGUAAACUUCUUUUAUAUGAGAAUAUUGAGUAGAUGAAUAAGGGUCUGCUAACUCCGUGCCAGCAGCCGCGGUAAUAC
rnacentral:rRNA from 1 species